CACUACACACAUGAAUUGAGAAGAAGAAGAAAUUCACUCAAUCAUGUGAAUUAUAAUAGAGCUCUUCCCCUAAUGAAGUGGGGUUUAAUUGAUCAUUGCUCUAAGAAAAACUGAAGAGAA